UGGGCUGGGUGAAGAUAAGGAAACAACUAUGGUGCUAUUUUUAUGAAGGAAGGCCAUUUUUUAAACAUCCUUCUUAUGCAAAUUAUAUAUAACUCUUGGGUCACAGAAGUGCAUUUUAUCCAGGACUAGCCUCCUGAAUAGCUUAGGACUAUGGAGUUUCCAGAUCUGUUAGGGUCUUAUGUAGUCCUGGGUCACCUGCCUGAGGAUGUAGCUUGAGUUAGUCUCCCUGGCCACAGUGUAUCCAGCUGAGGCCAAUUAUGUACAGUCAAUCCAUAUGCCUCAACAAAGUAAUAGAUUCCAAAGGCUUUGAGAGCCUAGCGUGUGACAUUCAAGCCUGGGGAACCAGCAAGCUGAACAGGAGUAAAUGCUAGGGGUCACAGAUUACUGGUCAGUUCAGAUACAGGGUGCAGGGGAGACCUCCUUUGGGUCCAUCUCGAGGACUUUUUAUUAAUACCCUUCUGGGCUUUGGAAGCUUUAGUCCAGGGGACAUCAAGUUUCACAAAUUGUUUGUGACUGGAUAAUGGCUUCACAAGGGGACAGGGACAGCCGUGCCGAGGUCAGAAAGUCUGUUUGGGAAUUUAUUGAAAUGUCUUCAAAGGAAGAAAGAAGUGCUGAAAGUCAGUGAUUAAGUGGUCCUAAUCCUUCAUCUUGUAGUGAAGUAGGGCUAGGAGCUAGCUCAUUUCUGUUGAUUCAGAGAAAAUAGACCAUUCCUAGGAAUUGUACAGUCUGGAAAUGUUUACCUGUGAGGAAAUCAUUCCAUUUUAACUUCACAGAUUUAUGCCUGUCCUUGUAUCAGAGGUGGCAAACUUGGGGGGUUGGGAGAUGUCUUUAUGCCUACUUGUGAGUUUAGCCAAAACCUGGGUGACGCCAGGCCUGUGCUCUUGGAAUACACAUUUUCCACAGCUGUCCAGGAAGGGUUGCAGGAGAUGUCAUCUGAAGUCAGCAGGUGUAGUUCGAGGUUAGGUGAAGGGAAAAGAGCCUGGUUAAAAUGAGCUCAGCCAGUUCCUGUUCUUAUCUGGAAACCACAUCUUCCAAAAUUUUUAAUAACUUUGUAAGUUUAAACUUUUUUUUCUCCCUAGCGUGGACCUUCUGGGUUCUGAGUCUCAGUCUUCACUUGAUCUUAGCCAAAAGGCCGAGAAGCGAUUUGAGUCUCAGUCUUAAUAGGGAGUUAAAUUUCCUUUAGAAAAAUUGUGUGUGUGUGUGUGUGUGUGUGUGUGUGUGUGUGUGUGUGUCUUUUAAUCUGACCUCAAUCUCUCUUUUCCUGCUGUUUGCUUGGUAGGUCCUCUCCCUCCCUUCAGUCAGCUUGCUCGGAACCAAGAAAAGCCAGGGGAACAUUUGUUUACCUUCCCAGGAAAGGCCUGAUAAUUGAUCUCUGCUCUGCUUUGGAGACUCUGCUUUGCUUUGGAAGAUCUCUGCUACUUCAACUUCGAGGCUGUGGCUGCUUCCUUCCCUCCUGCCCAAAUCCCUCCUCUUACCGUGCCCCCAUCCCUCUUUCUCUCAGCUUUUCACAUUUUAGUAACAGAUCAUGGACACUUUUGGAUGUUAGUCUCUCUGUGGAUACUGUGUGGAUACUGUAUACAUACAAUGAGUCUUAUAUAUUUGACAUUGCAAGGCGAUUUAUUCUAAUAACUGAAUCAAAGUCUUAUAGUAUGUGCUUAAUUAUUAUUUUCUCUUCUUAUUUUAUGCUAUUGCUACAAAAAUGUACAUUCAUAAAUUAUAGUAACUAAGAAUUUCGAUUAGAAUGAUAAUCGCAGUAUCAAAGAUUGGUGGUGGGGGGAACCCCAGACAUUAUACCAACCUCUUAAUUCUUACACAUUAUAUUUUAGUUUUUGAAGAUGUAAUUUUUCAGUGUGUGUGUGUGUGUGUGUGUGUGUGUGUGUGUGUGUGUAUAGUUUUAUAUUCCAGUUUUGUAAGUAAUCAUUAUUUCUAUAAGUCUACAUAAUUAUUACCUAAUGGACUUAAUCUUAUCUCUCAUUUACAUACAUAUGAGCAAUUCACUAUUUAGGCGACUUUAAUUUCCUUUCUUCCUGCCUUCUUCCUGCCUUCUUUCUUCCUUUCCUGUAUUAGAACUCCAUUUGGAAUAGAUCUCUUAUUAAUGUAGGUGUUUGCUUUUGUUAAAUGUAUUUCCUCCUGAAACAUUCCUGUGAACAGGGUUGCUAGGUAAAAGGAUAUGAACAGAAAUGGUUUUACAAACAAAAAUAAUUUUUAAACUUUUAAUGCUUCCAGCUGUGUAAGUCUAUACAAGUUUCACCAUGGCCUUGAGCAUCAUAUAGUAUCAUUUAAAACAUAUUUUAUUAAUUUGAUAUGAUUAAAUUGUUACCUCUAGUUUGCUUUAAUUUGCUUUUCUUCUUCUUUUCCUGUUCCUUUAGGACCAUGGUGAGCGGAGGUUACAGAGCUAUUCUGAUUGGCCUCGCAGUGUCAUCCACUCGAUUGGUUGUAAGAAAGUAGGCUCAUUGUGAGAGAAAGAGGUGGCCUGGCAUGGAUGGCCUGCCAUUGCUGUACCUGGGAGACUUGUUCUACUCUCUGAAUUUGUUCCUAACCCUGGCCACCAAGGAUUUAUUACAGAGCCCUGGUGGCCCCACACAUGAGAAUGCCCUUUAACCAGUUGGGAGCUCUCCCAGGGAGCUGGAGGAUCCAGGAUCGCUCAACUUACAGUGUGAGUGAUUCUUGAAACCUACCUAUUUUUGGAAUGAGUCUGGUAACUGGAGCAGAAGCUUUGUUGGAGAGGCCUUGCUUGUAGUUAGGACUUCACAGAUGGAACAGAAUUCUGAAGAUGAAGUGAAAUUUGAUGCUUGAACAAGCCUCCUCAGCUGCAAAUUGAUGGAUACAGAGAACCAGCCACAUGGAGUGUUCAUAUGAUUGUUGCCAUCUGUCUUUAAAUAUAACAUUCUACCAUGCGUCUCUAAGUAACAACAAAAUCUCCACCUGGAACCACUAAUGAAGCUUAAGUCUACAUUUCCCAAACAUACAGAUUAUGGAAAGAUCAAGAACUAAAGAGAGAACAAGAUAACUUAUAUGAAGAAAAUAUGAAUAUUAUAAAAGAAGAUAGGAAAAGUGAAAGAAAGUAGGGAAUUAAUUGAACAGCAGGAAGAAGAUGGACAAUUUCCAAGAACAAUAUAUUCCUCCCACUCUAAAACUGGGGAGUUUAAUUUCCUCCAUUUCUUUCAUAAUUACUGGGAGAAACUCUUCAGAGCUAAUACAUUUUAUUUGUUUAGUUAGAAAAUACUUAUUAUACAGGACCUACAUAAAUGUCAAUAGAGUUGUUUUGACUCUUUAUUAAAAUUUUAUAUUCUUAGAUACUAUAUGCUAUACUACAUUUUAAAAUAGCCUUCACAAAUAGAAUUGCUCUACUUUUGUUGCUAAAUUUGGAAUGAAUUAGGAGAGCUUUAGAAUGCAUUAAAAUUAACUUUAUGCGUAUAAAAUCACCUUUUGAAUUUUUUUUAAUAAAACUGGUCUAACCAAAUUUAAGCUGAAGGAGACUUUAUGAACUGAUUUAAGAAAAGCAAUUGCAUCCUGGGACAUCAUAAAAUGAGCAGGAUUCAAAAUAAUUAAGCCCCCUCUUACCCGUAGGGUGAUUUCUAAUUAGAAGUUUCUUCUUGGAGAGUAUAGUAUUGUGUCAUCAAACUUCAGUCCCUUCUUAAUAUGUCCUGGAUAUAGACCUUCAAUUAAGGAAAUUCAUGUCCAAAUACUCCAUUUAAGAGAGUAGAUUUGCACUGCCUACUUCUCAAACUAAGUGGGAUUUUGGAAACUCCCCAAUUCUUUUUCAAUUCCCAAAGGAACAUUAAAAUUUACAAGUUAGAUAAUACUUUUUAAAGACAGAAAGUGCUUCCUCUAUAUUGAUACUUUAUUUUUUUUCAAAAAGCAUUAGAGGCCAUGAAGGGUGAAUCUUUAUACUACCUAGCCAGAAAUUGGUAGCUAUGUAGAGAAUAAAGAUAUUAUCUUAUUGGAGUCAUCUUCAUAUUUUGAAACACUUUGUGACUAGAGAAUAAAUGCAGAUGCUUAGCUUGACUCAGAAGUCUUAGAUGGAAUGAGAGCAUAUGUAAAACUAAGUCUAAGAACAAUACACUCCUUGUUGUUGAAAGAAGAAAACCACCCACGUAAAGUCAUUAGAGUUUGACAUUGAAGAUCAGUCCAGAGCUGGAAGAUUCUAAGUUGGAAGACUGAUGAUCUAUCAAGACUGGAAGUGAAAUGUUCAAUGACUAGGUGUCACUGAGAGAAAUACUCUUGGCCCUAUAAAAUACACAGGAAAUGAUAUUUCAUGGAAAAGCCCUAUACAGUACCCCAAAUGAGUCAUUAAUGGAGUCAGGAUAAAAUGGAAACUUGUGAUGAGCUUCUUUACUAAAUUAAACUGACUUUAAAAAAUGAAUUAACUUCCUAAUAUUAAAAUAGAGUUCAUUAUUAAGAAACCGGAAAACAUCAGAAUACUGGUUGAAAGAAUA